rnacentral:lncRNA from 1 species
UCGUUUGUUAUGUUUUCAUAAACUUAGGCAAAUAGAGGAACUGCGAUCAAACAGCCAACUUGAUCUAUGUGGCAUUGGCGCUAAAUAAAUGCUUUUCUUGCAAGAAUUUGAUACUCGUCUAAUACUUAAGAAUUACAGACAAGUUCGACGCCAGCAAGUUGGCAUCUAUAUUUGGUUCAUUUUAUCGGACAAUGUAUCCCUGGAAUAUGCAUUAGUCCUUUAAUUAGACUACUGAAAGGAGAGUGUAUCAAUUAUUUGUCCAACCCAAAAUAAAGAUGUAUGCUCGUGUACGGUGUAGCUAAGCGAUAAAUUAGCAAGAUGUUGAAUUUCUUGGCUUACUAUAAGAUUAGAUACAACUCAACCACAGUUGGAAAAAAAACAAUUAAAAAUUAUUCAAGUUCUACUCAGGAAAAAAAGUUCUUGUGUAAAAAAUUAACUAUGCAUGUCAUGACACCUGCAUACAUUUAUGUAACGGUCCAUCUUUUUCUUUUUUUCUUUGAAAAUGUCUUACUCGGAAACUCAUAUUAAUUAUAUCUUUAAUCUUUUGUGAACAUUUUAUGUGACAUAUUGGCAUUAGAUUUGCACUAAGAAGUUGAUAAAUGACGUUCUCUAACAAGUACUACCAAGAGAGAAUAAAGUGUAAAAUUUAACUUAUACAAAGUGUUUAUGAUUUAUUUAGUAG